GAUGAACGCUAGCGGCAGGCCUAAUACAUGCAAGUCGAACGGGUGGUCGCAAGACCACUAGUGGCGCACGGGUGCGUAACGCGUAACCAACCUGCCCCGAUCUGGGGGAUAGCCCGCCGAAAGGCGGAUUAAUACCGCAUAUACCCGCAGCCUGGCAUCAGGCAACGGGGAAAGAUUUAUUGGAUCGGGAUGGGGUUGCGUGACAUUAGCUAGUUGGCGGGGUAAGGGCCCCCCAAGGCGACGAUGUCUAGGGGACCUGAGAGGGUGAUCCCCCACACUGGCACUGAGAUACGGGCCAGACUCCUACGGGAGGCAGCAGUAGGGAAUAUUGGGCAAUGGGCGAGAGCCUGACCCAGCCAUGCCGCGUGCCGGAUGAAGGCCUUCUGGGUUGUAAACGGCUUUUCUCAGGGAAGAAAAAGACCUUGCGAGGUACACUGACGGUACCUGAGGAAUAAGCACCGGCUAACUCCGUG
rnacentral:rRNA from 1 species